rnacentral:rRNA from 1 species
UACAGAGGUCUCAAGCGUUGUUCGGAUUCAUUGGGCGUAAAGGGUGCGUAGGCGGCGCGGUAAGUCGGGUGUGAAAUUUCGGAGGCUUAACUUCGAAACUGCAUUCGAUACUGCCGUGCGUAGAGGACUGGAGAGGAGACUGGAAUUUACGGUGUAGCGGUGAAAUGCGUAGAUAUCGUAAGGAAGACCAGUGGCGAAGGCGGGUCUCUGGACAGUUCCUGACGCUGAGGCGCGACAGCGUGGGGAGCAAACAGG